GUUGGUGGAGAGGGAAAACCAAGAGUUUGAUGAGAGGGAGAGGCAGGCACGCAAAGAAAAGAAACUUGCAAAGAACAUGACACCAACAAAGCGCACUUUGGCAAGACAGGCAACUGAAAGCUCUCCUACCUUAAAGAAGCGGAAGCAGUCAUCAAUGGAUGACUAUGUGAGCUCGGGUAAGAGGAAGAAAUGAUCAUCUUAACUUACAUAGCCUUCUCUUUUUGUGGUUUAGAUCCUCUAGUAUUUUGUUUAACCAGGUUGGUCAAUCCGAUGCUCUCAAGCUGCAAUGUUGAGGGUAUUGCGAUUCUGUCUGGUGCAGAGGAGAAUCAGAGUAUUCAGAUAUGAUGUGUUAGUCCAUUGUACAAAGUCCAAAUAUACAAUUCCAUUAUGGCUAGUCUUAUCACUGUGGUUGAACAUUAUAUGUAAUGAAAAUCAACUUACUAAGUCAUUGUUCUUGCCUGUCUGCUA